CGAACCACUGGAGAGAUUCGUUUGAACACCGAAGGAGCAAGCCUAGAAGGGUGAAACUCUCAGGUAAAAGGACAGUGGCUU
rnacentral:ncRNA from 1 species